GGAGAGUGGGCCGGACGGUAAGGCACAAGUUUGCUAAACUUGCACGGGGCAACUCGUGAGUGGGUUCGACUCCCACACUCUCCG
rnacentral:tRNA from 1 species